UACGUAGGGGGCAAGCGUUGUCCGGGAUUAUUGGGCGUAAAGAGCGUGUAGGCGGCCAGGUAGGUCUGCUGUGAAAACUCGAGGCUUAACCUCGAGCUGUCGGCGGAAACCAUCUGGCUAGAGUCCGGAAGAGGAGAAUGGAAUUCCCGGUGUAGCGGUGAAAUGCGUAGAUAUCUGGAGGAACACCGGUGGCGAAGGCGGCGUCCUGGACCAACACUGACACUGAGGAGCGAAAGCCAGGGGAGCAAACGGG
rnacentral:rRNA from 1 species